rnacentral:lncRNA from 15 species
AUGCAUCAGGGUGAACCGGGCUCAGCUGUUUUUGGAGGAGGUCUUCCAGGGAGAAAAGGAGAGCCAGGCAUCCCAGGAAUACCGGGUGUUCUAGGUCGGCCAGGUAGUGAUGGGACCAAAGGUGCCAUUGGAGUGCCGGGAACACCAGGUCAGGAUGGUCGCCCAGGUUUACCAGGAACUCCAGGACUCUCCAUCAAGGGAGAAAAGGGCAGCCCAGGAGAGAGGGUGAGUCACACCAUCACCAAACAUGUCCUCUCACUGCAGAAAUGUCCUGAGGAGCAUGCGAGCAUAAUAAUUCUCAGCUCUUAUCUCUCUUUGCUGACAGGGACCUCCAGGAGUCGGUAA